GAAAUAUAAGAACCCGUCUCUUAACUUUUAACUAAAAAAACUAAGAACCGGUUCUUAAAUAUUUAAGAACCGGUUCUUAGUUUUUUUAGUUAAAAGUUAAGAGACGGGUUCUUAUAUUNN
rnacentral:pre_miRNA from 1 species